AUCACUAUAGCAAAUAAAUGCAUAAAACUUAGAAUUUUAUCAUACUUUUAUCACAGAAAUAAUU
rnacentral:tRNA from 1 species